GAUCAUGCUUGUGCCCAGACUAUGAGCCAGUCCAAGAACAAAAGCAGUAUGAUUGUCUCCUUUUCUGUCUGUAAUAAUGGCAGGAUGAUCUGCCCAAUCCAUACCUCAUGGAGUAUUGAAAAGCUGUGCUGAGACUUCGCAUGAAACCAGAGCUACCAGGUUUAUGAACAUUUAAAGAGAGAGCUUUUCAUGGAAGCCAGCAGAGAACAUAGGAGCCAGAAGCUCUGUAGACUCGGAGUCUGUUCAGACAUCAUACUGGCCAGAAAGAAGACUGCAGGAGGAUCAGAAGGGUUGAAGGACUUGAUUGGAGAAGGACAUCCACCACUAAUAUGUUCUCCAUACUCCCUGAAAUGUCCUAGAGGAGCCUCUCAGACAUAGAAAUCUAGAAGGAAUUUCCCACCAUGUGCAGAAAUAUGAACUACACACAGCAGAUUUGCAGCCUCUACAAGAAGAUGGUAGAAGACAUGAACAAUGAAUUGG